rnacentral:rRNA from 1 species
GGAUUAGCGGCGAACGGGUGAGGAACACGUGAGGAAUCUGCCUUCAACACUGGGAUAACUCCGGGAAACCGGGGCUAAUACCGGAUACGAGACCUGCAGGCAUCUGCGGGUCUGGAAAGUUUUUCGGUUGAAGAUGACCUCGCGGCCUAUCAGCUUGUUGGUGAGGUAAUGGCUCACCAAGGCGACGACGGGUAGCCGGCCUGAGAGGGCGACCGGCCACACUGGGACUGAGACACGGCCCAGACUCCUACGGGAGGCAGCAGUGGGGAAUAUUGGGCAAUGGAGGAAACUCUGACCCAGCGACGCCGCGUGCGGGAUGAAGGCCUUCGGGUUGUAAACCGCUUUCAGCAAGGAAGAAGCGAAAGUGACGGUACUUGCAGAAGAAGCACCGGCUAACUAUGUGCCAGCAGCCGCGGUAAUACAUAGGGUGCAAGCGUUGUCCGGAAUUAUUGGGCGUAAAGGGCUCGUAGGUGGUUCGUCACGUCGGAUGUGAAAAUCUGGGGCUUAAC